UACGUAGGGUGCAAGCGUUGUCCGGAAUUAUUGGGCGUAAAGAGCUCGUAGGCGGUUUGUCGCGUCGAAUGUGAAAACCCGGGGCUCAACCCCGGGCCUGCAUUCGAUACGGGCAGACUAGAGUUCGGUAGGGGAGUCUGGAAUUCCUGGUGUAGCGGUGAAAUGCGCAGAUAUCAGGAGGAACACCCGUGGCUAAGGCGGCUCUCUAGUACGUGACUGACGCUGAGACGCGAAAGCGUGGGGAGCGAACAGG
rnacentral:rRNA from 1 species